rnacentral:rRNA from 1 species
CCUACGGGAGGCAGCAGUGGGGAAUAUUGGACAAUGGGCGAAAGCCUGAUCCAGCAAUGCCGCGUGAGUGAUGAAGGCCUUAGGGUUGUAAAGCUCUUUUACCCGGGAUGAUAAUGACAGUACCGGGAGAAUAAGCUCCGGCUAACUCCGUGCCAGCAGCCGCGGUAAUACGGAGGGAGCUAGCGUUAUUCGGAAUUACUGGGCGUAAAGCGCACGUAGGCGGCUUUGUAAGUAAGAGGUGAAAGCCUGGUGCUCAACACCAGAACUGCCUUUUAGACUGCAUCGCUUGAAUCCAGGAGAGGUGAGUGGAAUUCCGAGUGUAGAGGUGAAAUUCGUAGAUAUUCGGAAGAACACCAGUGGCGAAGGCGGCUCACUGGACUGGUAUUGACGCUGAGGUGCGAAAAGCGUGGGGAGCAAAACAGGAUUAGAUACCCCUGGUAGUCCACGCCGUAAAACGAUGAUAACUAGCUGUCGGGGUUCUUAGAACUUCGGUGGCGCAGCUAACGCAUUAAGUUAUCCGCCUGGGGAGUACGGCCGCAAGGUUAAAACUCAAAAGGAAAUUGAACGGCUUGAGAGUGCGAGAGCACAGGAGAGG